rnacentral:lncRNA from 1 species
ACAAGACAGUUGUGAAUGAUGGGAAUGGUUUCUUUCUAACGUAUGUCACGCUUGGGCAGGGCUGCCCUGGGACCUCCGGUGAGCCUGCUGCAGGAGAGAAGCCUCCCCCCACCAUGUGAACACACCCUCCCCACCCAGCCCCCACACUCCCUGGCUGGCACACACGGGACUUCAUUAUUAUUGUUGUUUUAAAAAAUGAAUUUGGCAUUUUGCAUUUGAAGAAUAAAUAACAAAUAUUCUAGCUAGUCAAAUAAACUGAAAUACAUAUUUAUAAGCCAACCUAUUUUGUUAGUUUUUACAAAUAUAAAAUUAUGCCCCCUUUUGGUCUAUAAACUAAAAUCUAUACAAUUAUCUGAGUGUGAGGAGUGGAAUCAGUUUUAAGAAAUUUACUUUGGAGGCCAGGCACAGUGGCUUACUCUUGUAAUCCCAGCACUUUGGGAGGCUGAGGCAGGUGGAUCAUUCGAGGUCAGGAGUUCGAGACCAGCCUGGCCAACAUGGCGAAACCCCGUCUCUACUAAAAAUACAAAAAUUAGCUGGGUGUGGUGGCGCCCACCUGUAAUCCCAGCCACUUGGGAGGCUGAGUGGGGAGAAUCAAUUGAGCCUGGGAGGUGGAGUUUGUGGUGAGUCAAGAUCAUGCCACU